rnacentral:rRNA from 1 species
UUGUUAAAGCUUAUCUACCUUAAAAGGUAACAAUGAUAAGCCAAACCCUAAAAAACCUUGAGACUGGUAUAUGGGUUACAAAAUAAUCAGCAGGAAACUACAUUCAGUUUAUACGAAAGUAGGAUCCUCAGAGACUAUACGUGAAACAUGUUUGAAAAAACUUGAAGAUAUAGUCCAAGUUCGGAACGUAAUAAUUUAUUUACGGGCCGGGCCAGAAGUCUCGGUAAUACGUAGGAGGCAAGCAUUAUCCGGAUUCAUUGGGCGUAAAGUGUGCGUAGGCGUCUUGUAAAGUUUCUAUUUAAAUGCCAAGGCUUACCCUUGGAUUUGGUAGAAAUACUCACAAGAUUGAGGAUUGAUCGGGGUGAUAGAACAGAUAGUGUAGCAGUGAAAUGCGUUGAUAUUAUCUGGAAUACCAAAAGCGAAGGCAGUCACCUGGGUUUUUCCUGACACUGAGGCACGAAAGCCAGGGGAGCGAAACAGAUUAGAUACCUGUGUAGUCCUGGCCGUAAACGAUGCUCGCUAGCUCUCGGUCGCAAAGCACAUAAGCGUUUGCUUGUGUUUUUUGCGAUCGGGGGUGUAAGCUAACGCGUUAAGCGAGCCGCCUGGGGAGUACGGCCGCAAGGCUAAAACUCAAAGGAAUUGACGGGGACCCGCACAACCUGUGGAGCGUGUGGUUCAAUUCGAGACGAAACGAAGGACCUCACCAGGGUUUGACAUGCAAUCGUUUAUUUUCCUGGAAACAGGGAGAAAUCCGCAAGGAUGAUUGCACAGGUGCUGCAUGGCUGUCGUCAGCUCGUGCCGUGAGGUGUUCCCUUAAGUGGGGAAACGAGCGCAACCCCCAUCCAAUGUUAAAUUAUUCAUUGGAAACUGACGCUAUUUAAGUAGCGAAGGAAGGAGGGGAAGACGUCAAGUCAGCACGGCCCUUAUACCCUGGGCCACACACACACUACAAUGGCGAAAAACAAUGAGCAGCAAGCCGGUAACGGCAAGCAAAUCUCUGAAAUUUCGCCUCAGUUCAGAUUGGGGUCUGCAACCCGACCCCAUGAAGCCGGAAUAGGUAGUAAUCGCGGAUCAGCAAGCCGCGGUGAAUACGUUCUCGGGUCUUGUACACACCGCCCGUCAAGGCAGCAAAGUCGGUAGCUAUCGAACCACCUCUUUUGGGGUGGGAGAUAGAGAUUGGCGAUGAAGCUUAAGUCGUAACAAGGUAUCCUUAGCCGAAGCUGAGGAUGGAUCACCUCCUUU